rnacentral:rRNA from 1 species
UACAGGGGGGGCAAGCGUUGUUCGGAAUUACUGGGCGUAAAGGGCUCGUAGGCGGCCAACUAAGUCACACGUGAAAUCCCUGGGCUCAACCCAGGAACUGCGUCCGAGACUGGCAGGCUCGAAUCCGGGAGAGGGAUGUGGAAUUCCAGGUGUAGCGGUGAAAUGCGUAGAUAUCUGGAGGAACACCGGUGGCGAAGGCGGCAUCCUGGACCGGUAUUGACGCUGAGGCGCGAAAGCCAGGGGAGCAAACGGG